UUUUACAGGUAAGGAGGCUCAGAUCCAGGGAGAAGACGUGAUUUGCCUACAGUUGCACAACUAGCUGGAAUUAGAAACCAGCUUGUGGUUUAUAUCUGAAGUUGUUAAACAUGACUCUUUGGAUGGUAACUGUCAUCACUUUGACUGGCUGUGUCUUCAAUGAAUGUUUCUGAAGACUUUGGUGAUCAUCAUUCAUUUUGUGAAUGCCAAAGGGGAAUGUAUGACAUAGGAAAAA
rnacentral:lncRNA from 10 species